AGGCUGACAGUUGCACACCACAGGGCGCUGGACUGACCACGAGAUCCCAUGGCUGAAGCUGACGCAGCACACUGCACUCUGCCCUUCUAAGAGGACAGC